CGCAUUGCACCGUGAGCGAGGAAUCACACGUAUCCGUUGGCAGAUAACAAGGUUUGUUGCAAGCGCGUGCGCACAUCCACCAGGGACACAUGAUUCCUAAGGGCCACUGAAUUCGUCGUAUUUUUCGUUUUUUGUCUCAUCCCAGAUCAGUACUCGGGGGAACAAUCUGCCCGGAGGACUACAUUCUACCAGACAGGAAAUAGAGCAUUUCUAGAAUCGAGCAGGCUUGGAUAUGGAUCUCUUACUCCUUUCCCAAGCUAUGAGAGACCCCCCCCUCUCUCAGAGGUACAUUGCUGUGAUGUGGAGGUCUACAGCACAUGCAGGAGACCAUACAGGAUUGGACUGGAUCUGACGGUGGAAUGCGGGAGGUGUGGCGAAUGGUUCCAUGGCCAGAUGACCUAAGAAUGGAGGAGUGCUACACAUGGAGACGUAACACUACAGACAGACCUAACCAGGACAAGGAGAACAUGGAAGAUGAAUUUUGAAUUUAAUUUUGAAGAUUGUUUUGAUUUACUGCAAAUAAAUGUUUUCAUUUAAAAUUAACAAAAAUGUGGCAGUGUCUCAUUGUGUGCAUAUAACUGAACAGGUGCUAGCAAUAUUAUAGCAAUAAUUAUAGAAGUGUUGUGGUCAUGUUAUCACAUUAUUUUAUUAAAGUUUAUAUUUUGUGAAUGCGCCGCGACUCUCACCAGGAGAAGCAGAUCGAUAAUGGAUGGGCAAAUGAUUAUUGUAAAUGAGAUUAUACUAAACUGAAAGGAAUGAAUGUGUAAAUUAACUAUGCAUUGCUGAAAUUAACAUUGGUGCUAUGUACAGCAAUAACUGUAUAAAAACAACAAUACUUUACUGCACAUAUUUAAUUUAUUAAAGGUGUGCUAGUUAAUUUAAUGUCAAUUUCUUUCAUUAAGAGGCAAUUUGUAAUUUCACAACGUUGUAAAUAUGAAGUUGUAAUUAAGUUGUCAGAACAUUUUAUUCACGUUGUCACAAUGUUGGGUACAAAAUUUUAGCAACGUAUAUGGGAGUCCACAAAUUUGCGCUGUCACAACUUAAUUUUACAAUGUUGCCAAAACAUAAAAGGAAUGUUGUGACAACGUUGUGAAAACGUUAAAUUGUUAGCAGGGUAUUAUCUAUCGCAUCGGUCAAGAGAAACGCAGUAAGCACACAUCAAUGCAGAUAAUCAAAAAGUCUAUGCCCAGUGGGCACACAAUGUUAUACUGACGUUGUGUAUUGGUUGUAUUUGAGACACAACGUCGGUCAACCAAAAUAUAACCAAUGCACAACGUAUUUUUGACGACGUCGAGGCAACGCCUGUCUUAGACACCAUUUUAAUGUUAUUUUAGGUUGUUGGUUGUUGGUUGGUAUGUCUGUUUAAAAAAAAUGUAUUGUUAAGGGCAGAGUUUUAUUAACCUUUCUUGUGUAACAAAAAUCACACAUCUUUUUAUAUUCAUUAUUUAUUAUUAU